GACGAACGCUGGCGGCGUGCCUAAUACAUGCAAGUAGAACGCUGAAGGAGGAGCUUGCUCUUCUGGAUGAGUUGCGAACGGGUGAGUAACGCGUAGGUAACCUGCCUGGUAGCGGGGGAUAACUAUUGGAAACGAUAGCUAAUACCGCAUAACAGUAGAUGUUGCAUGACAUUUGCUUAAAAGGUGCAAUUGCACCACUACCAGAUGGACCUGCGUUGUAUUAGCUAGUUGGUGGGGUAACGGCUCACCAAGGCGACGAUACAUAGCCGACCUGAGAGGGUGAUCGGCCACACUGGGACUGAGACACGGCCCAGACGCCUACGGGAGGCAGCAGUAGGGAAUCUUCGGCAAUGGACGGAAGUCUGACCGAGCAACGCCGCGUGAGUGAAGAAGGUUUUCGGAUCGUAAAGCUCUGUUGUAAGAGAAGAACGAGUGUGAGAGUGGAAAGUUCACACUGUGACGGUAUCUUACCAGAAAGGGACGGCUAACUACGUG
rnacentral:rRNA from 1 species